GAUGAAGAACGUAGCGAAAUGCGAUAAGUAGUGUGAAUUGCAGAAUUCAGUGAAUCAUCGAAUCUUUGAACGCACAUUGCGCCUCCUGGUAUUCCGGGAGGCAUGCCUGUUCGAGCGUCAUCAAAAACCUCAACCCAUGAUUUAUUGUGAGUUGGUUCUGCAUUGGACUCCUUGUGGGUCCUUUGCGAAAUCCAAUGGCGAAGAGCCACGCAACCAAAGCGUAGUAUAACUAUUUCGUUAUGGAAGCGUGGGUGCCUCUGCCGUAACCCCCAAUUUCUUAGUUUUUGACCUCGGAUCAGGUAGGGAUACCCGCUGAACUUAAGCAUAUCAUUAAGCGGAGGA
rnacentral:misc_RNA from 1 species